CAGCCGCCGCGGUAAAACCGAGGGUGCAAGCGUUAAUCGGAAUUACUGGGCGUAAAGCGCGCGUAGGUGGUUUGUUAAGUUGGAUGUGAAAUCCCCGGGCUCAACCUGGGAACUGCAUCCAAAACUGGCAAGCUAGAGUAUGGUAGAGGGUGGUGGAAUUUCCUGUGUAGCGGUGAAAUGCGUAGAUAUAGGAAGGAACACCAGUGGCGAAGGCGACCACCUGGACUGAUACUGACACUGAGGUGCGAAAGCGUGGGGAGCAAACAGGAUUAGAUACCCCCGUAGUCCCUGUCUCUUAUAC
rnacentral:rRNA from 1 species